AUGAACGCUGGCGGCGUGCCUAAUCCAUGCACGUCGAGCGAACAGAUGAGGAGCUUGCUCCUCUGACGUUAGCGGCGGACGGGUGAGUAACACGUGGAUAACCUACCUAUAAGACUGGGAUAACUUCGGGAAACCGGAGCUAAUACCGGAUAAUAUAUUGAACCGCAUGGUUCAAUAGUGAAAGACGGUUUUGCUGUCACUUAUAGAUGGAUCCGCGCCGCAUUAGCUAGUUGGUAAGGUAACGGCUUACCAAGGCAACGAUGCGUAGCCGACCUGAGAGGGUGAUCGGCCACACUGGAACUGAGACACGGUCCAGACUCCUACGGGAGGCAGCAGUAGGGAAUCUUCCGCAAUGGGCGAAAGCUUGACGGAGCAACGCCGCGUGAGUGAUGAAGGUCUUCGGAUCGUAAAACUCUGUUAUUAGGGAAGAACAAAUGUGUAAGUAACUAUGCACGUCUUGACGGUACCUAAUCAGAAAGCCACGGCUAACUACGUG
rnacentral:rRNA from 1 species